GUUUUUCGUUUUUGGAUUCCUUUUCGGCUUGGAGUAUAGAUUAUUGUCGAUAAUAUCGACAUCAAGAAAGUAAUGAGUCGAUUUAACUUUCCUUGAGAUUGGGCAUCAAGAUUAGGUUGGGAAAUUAGGGUUCUUGAUCUAAUAAGAGGGAAAUUAAUUCCUUUGAGGGGAAGGAAUUUUUCUCGGCCAUUGGUUAAUCCAAACAAAGUAGAGAAUUAGUUGGUGGAGGACAAAUUGGAAUGUGUGAGGAAUUUGGAGACCUUCUGAAGAGGAUACCACUUGAUUUACUGCAAGGAAACAAAUUUCGUAAAGCGGCAAUUGAUUGCAUUAAGCCUCUUCUAGCCUUUAUAUCCAUAGUCGGAUACUGAAACAUGUUGGUGAUUUGGUAGCUGUGGCUUCAUUGACAGAUGAAGCUAGGUGUAUGGAUCUUGCAGAUCGCUAUAUAAACAGUGAAUCUGUGAAGCGAAUGUUGCAGUCUGAUCAGGUGGUUUUGGCAGGAAAAACUGCUGUUUUGUUCACGAAAGAUGGGGGCCAGCACAACAACCUUCAUGACAUGCAGUGCAUGUGGUAUGAACUUGCUUCUGAUGAAAGUUACUUUCGACAUGGUGAUUUUGGACGGGCCCUGGAGAAAUUUAUAGCUGUGGAGAAGCACUAUGCUGAUAUUACUGAAGAUCAAUUUGAUUUCCAUUCUUAUUGUUUGAGGAAAAUGACACCACGUGCAUAUGUUGGAAAGCUAAAAUUUAAAGAUUGGUUGCAUUCACAUGCUUAUUUUCACAAAGUAGCAGCUGGAGCCAUUAGGUGAACAUUUUUGUUAGGAUCUGCAGCCUUUUCAAUGAUUUGCAAUAGACUUAUUCUGUUUGGUUGUGGCCUGUAUGUGUAAAAUGCUAUGCAAGCUCUGUUGUCUACUUGUCUGGGUGCUUUUAGCGUCUAUCACCUAUUGUUGAUCAACAUAUGCAUGUGAUGCUUCAUUUUGGGUUAGAUUCCUCUUUGCCUCCCUUUUUUUCCCUUUGUCUUUUGGGGAAUGGGGGAUUAUUGCAUGCAUAUAUGUUGCAUUAAUCAUAUGUUGCAAUGAUGUGUUGUCUGGACCUUGCUUUCAAAGCAUGAAAAACUUCCUAAAGGUAACUGUUGUUCAUAACUUACCCUUGUACAACUAUUCAUUUGUUAAUAAUUAGACACUCCCAUUAUGAUAUCCAAUCUAAUUGAAGUCUCUUCUAGUAGCCCCUCUUUUAAUUGGAGAGGGGAUAUCAUAUCAAGAUUUCUGAUUCCCCUCCCCUACUCUAAUUUUUCCUUGAAUCCUAGACGUAAGGAUUUACAACAUAUUUGAAGACAAAACCUUGCUAAGUUUAUAAUCAAGAAAGUAUCAAGAGUCCUUUUCUUGCACUUGUUUUUGCUAGAGAAAAUUUUUUGAGUCAUAUGAGCAAAGCAGAAUAUAGGGUUCCAAGUUUUUUGUUGAUCAAGCAACAACCUGAUUUGAACUGGGGAAUAAGGGAUUUGCAAUCCCCCGGCUUACUGGUUAGCCAUGUCACCAAAGGUUAGAAACCAAAAAGAAUGAGUGUAUCCCCUUUAUAACUUUAGUUAUAGAUCGGAUCCAUACCUUCAAUUAGUUAUAGUAUCUCAAGUAAAAAAAUUAGUAUUGUUUUUUUUUUUCUUUCAAUAAAAAAAAUUCUUAAUUUGAUUUAUAUUAUAAUGUAAUAAUAUAACAACAAUUAUGAGUCUAGGUAAACCCCAUAAUGAAAGUUAUUGCACGGCAACAAAAAGUUCAACCCAACAAUGAAAAGCAGCUUGAGGAGCUGACCUCAACCUCUGGACCUUGUGAUCCUUUAUGUUGAGUUGAUGAAGCUAGCUCGUUAGAUUUUGAAGUUACUUACCAGUCAAAGACUAAUUUGUUGAAAACUAUUGGUGUUUUCACAGCAGCUUUAACAGGGGCUGUGGCAAUUAACCUAUCGUGGGUUACCAACAUCUAGGUUUAUCUUUAAUUUCUUGUGCAAUCCUUUCUUUGUAGGUUGUAAUCAUUUUUUCAUCUUUGGCCAAUAUUUUGUGUAUUCUUGUAUUAUGCCCAGAAGCCUUUCUUAAGUUGAUCUAAUUUCAUAAUGCAUAUUUCUAUGGCAUUGCUUUUUGUAAUAGGAUAUGCAGGCAUUAUCUUUGAAGAAUUUCUAGCCUUCAAUAAAAGUGGAAUAGAUUGUUGAUGGCUGUGAGUUUAUGGGUGGUAAGGAGCAUAGGGGUAAGAGUGAUUCUCAGAUGUUUAGGAUUGGACUAUGUUUUUCUGCUGUCCCUCUUCUUGUAGUUUGCAUCAUAUUUAUCAUUCUCAUAAAUUGGGAUGAAAACACAAAAUUCUGUUGCGUAUUGGUUGCUUUAUUCAGUACUAUGUCAGGUUUCAACCUGUUUCUCUCAUGUUCAUUGGUGGUGGCCUCAUGACCUGGUAUUCAUUCAAGAGUUAAUGAAAUACAGGAUGCUUGGGCUCUAAUCUUAUUUCCUGAUCUACUAGUUUUAUUGGUCUAUGUUUUUUGGUGAGCAAUGGCUUGUCUUUUUAUGAAGUGAUCAUUGCAAUUUAAUAUCCUUUAUUUUUAAUUUAUGUUGGAGCCCACUUCCCAUUUAAAGGAAGGAGCAUCUCCAAUUUAAACCAAUUCCAAGGAACUACCUUAGCAAUGAAUUAAGAUAGCAAAACUAGGUACCUACCCCCAUGGUCAAUUGGGAGAGCCAAAGUUUGUGUUUGUGUGUGGCUUGUUACCAUCACUAGGAAUUCUGCAAAUGGUUACUAUGACUAUCUCCCUUUAUUAAUGGAAUUCUAUGGCUACUUAUGCUGAUGCAUCUGACUUCUGUAUGGAAAACUUUUUUUUUUAUCAUUUUCUUAUUUAUUUUCGCUUUUAUCUGUUAAUACUUGUGUAAUAAUGCUUGGGCCAUUCACAU